AAGCUUGAGGAGCACCGUAGAAAGUAUGACAGAUUACGUAAGGAAAGAGAGGACAAAAAGGCUGAACGGGAUAGAU
rnacentral:sRNA from 1 species